GAUGAAGAACGUAGCGAAAUGCGAUAAGUAAUGCGAAUUGCAGAAUUCCAGUGAGUCAUCGAAUCUUUGAACGCACAUUGCGCCCGCCAGUAUUCUGGCGGGCAUGCCUGUCUGAGCGUCAUUUCAACCCUCAUGCCCCUAGGGCGUGGUGUUGGGGAUCGGCCAAAGCCCGCGAGGGACGGCCGGCCCCUAAAUCUAGUGGCGGACCCGUCGUGGCCUCCUCUGCGAAGUAGUGAUAUUCCGCAUCGGAGAGCGAUGAGCCCCUGCCGUUAAACCCCCAACUUUCCAAGGUUGACCUCAGAUCAGGUAGGAAUACCCGCUGAACUUGAGCAUAUCAAUAAGCGGAGGA
rnacentral:misc_RNA from 1 species